rnacentral:rRNA from 1 species
GCUAACUCCGUGCCAGCAGCCGCGGUAAUACGGAGGAUCCAAGCGUUAUCCGGAAUCAUUGGGUUUAAAGGGUCCGUAGGCGGCCUUAUAAGUCAGCGGUGAAAGUUUUUGGCUUAACCAAAAAAUUGCCAUUGAUACUGUAGGGCUUGAAUAUUUGUGAAGUAACUAGAAUAUGUAGUGUAGCGGUGAAAUGCUUAGAUAUUACAUGGAAUACCAAUUGCGAAGGCAGGUUACUAACAAAUGAUUGACGCUGAUGGACGAAAGCGUGGGUAGCGAACAGGAUUAGAUACCCCAGUAGUC